AUCAAAAAGAUGUUGGAAAGAAUUCCUGUACUCUCUUUUUGUCAUAGCAUACUGAAAAGUAAGCACAGAAGAUUUCUCCUAGAUGCUAUUAGACAAGAAGAAAAGGUUGUCUGGAUAAGCUUGGAAAUCUUAUCACUAGAGAUCUUCAGGAUACGGACCCUUCACGUGUAUCAGACAGAAGCAUAAGGUCUGUUCUGACAGCUUUGGUGCCUCACCAAGUUUAAGCAAGAGGAGCCUUCUCAUGAGAGGUAGUCAGAGUUGGUUAUCAUAUACGGAGGCAAAUGCCUUGCACGUGCAGCUGGGGGAGGUUCAAGGACUGUUGAGGAAAAACGGCACUUAAGUGAAAUGAUUCAUCAGAUUUGAUCUUUUGGGAAACAAAAUGCUUUCUGUUUUGUCUCUGCACAUACUUAGCUUGAUGGAGCACUGGUCUGCUGUAACUUCAUUAUCAUUAUUGAUAACGUUGCAAAGCUAUGGAGAGAACUUCUGCUUUCUCAGGCAAGUUACUGAGCAUAGGGCAGAGGACCUGGGGUUUUACCCAAUCUGCAACCAUCUGGAGAAUUCCAAGGGAUGGUCAGAACCAACCCUGUGUUUCAUGCACCCACCAGCCCAUCUGAGUGAGUCCACUCCAUCUGCACAUCCUGCAUCUGGGCACCUACAAGAAGAUGGAGUGACCAUAGAAUCCUCGUCAUAGAAUCAUCAUAAUUUGAGUUGAAGGGGCCCUUAAAGGCCACUUAGUCCAACUCCCCUGCAACAAACAGAGACACCUACAGCUAGAUCAGGGUGCUAAGAGUCCUGUUUAGACUGACCUUGAGCAUCCCCAGGAACAAAGCAUCCACCAUCUUUCUGGGAAAACUGUUCCAGUGCUUCACCACACUUACUUUAUAAAAACUUCUUUCUGUCCAGUCUGGAUCUCCCUUCUUUCAGUUUGAAACCAAUUCCACUUGUCCUGUCAUACCAGAUCCUGCUAAAGAGUCUGCCCUUUCUUUGUUAUAGCCACCCUAUUGACUCCCUCUGAGUCCUCUGCUUCCCAAGACAAUCCACAGGCAGAAAGACUCACUAAUACCUCUGUUUCACUCUGUGUGCUGAGCCAGGAAUCAUGAUGGGGGCUAGAGGCAGACCGCUGUGUACCACCAGCCAGUGCCCUCCUGUCAAGCAGGCAGUGGCUGGCGGUUGGCACCACAUUUCCAGGGCUAAUUCCAGAGUACUUUAGUGCUCAUAGGAAAUUCUUUGUAACAUUCCCUUUGCUCUAAUAUUCAAUUAGCUUUCAAACAAGCGAAGAGCCUGGAUGAGCUGAGAUGGCCAUUUUACCAAGUACUGUACCAUCAUGAAGAGUUCACAGACAGCUGUUUCAAAGUAAUUGAAGUCAUAAUGCGCAGAAAAAUGACUUUUCUAAUGGUUGCCUUGAAGAUUUAUUUUUUUUUAAUGUAAUUAAAAAGUAGAUUUAGAAAUAUGCUCGGCAACCCAAAAGAUUAAAUAUUAAUAUGGUGCAUAAUUAAUAAAUGAUACAUCUCUUGAUUACUAAUGGGUUAUCGACUCUAAAAGCCUAACAUUAUGGAAUAUUAGGGCAAACAAAGGCUUUGGGGGAAUAUCUCUAAGUUUCCAGGAUGAAGCUGCAUCUUUGUCCAUGUGAAAAGUUGUACACUUCCUUCAGUGUUCUCCGAAUCACCGAAAAACAGCAUUAGAAAGUUAAGCGAUAAGUCAUGACGAUUAUAACCACUUUACAAAGUUGCAUUCUUACAAUUUAUUCUACGAUGGAAUCCUGACCUUCAGGUCUAUCUGCAGGCUAUUCUAUCAAAGAAAAUUCUGCUUAAAAUGGUAUUUUGUCUUAGAAAAUAAAUUAAUUACC
ensembl:lncRNA